UGAGUCGCCCGUGGCAUUGAUUUGACAGAAGCUUCGUACUCUCAAUAUUGCGUCGCCUUUGUAAUGAGUAAUUGUCCCGCACAUAAAAAUAAUGUAGGCCAGGGUGACUGUUCUCGAACGAAAUAUAUAUAUAACGAAAAAUAGAUAAGAUAAUAUCAGCUGAUAAUUUUGUCGGUAGAGACUUAUUUUCAUCCACACGCAGGGACCUUAGACUGAAUCGUGGCAGGGACCUUAGACCGACACAGUGACCCAAGGCACUUCGGAAGCGAGCAUGCCACAGCCGCCGGU
rnacentral:lncRNA from 1 species